rnacentral:rRNA from 1 species
AGAAUGAACGUUGGCGGCGUGGAUUAGGCAUGCAAGUCGAACGGGCCUGGUAGCAAUAUCAGGUCAGUGGCGUAAGGGUGAGUAAGGCGACGGCAACCAACCCCAUGGUUGGGCAUAGCCGCGGGAAACUGCGGGUAAUUCCCAGCGAUGUUCGUACCGGGCAUCCGGUGUGAACCAAAGUUCUGGCGCCGUGGGACGGGCCGUCGUGGUAUUAGGUAGUUGGCGGGGUAAUGGCCCACCAAGCCUCUGAUGCCUACCGGGCGUGCGAGCGUGGCCCGGCACACUGGGACUGAGACACUGCCCAGACUCCUACGGGAGGCUGCAGUCGAGAAUCUUCGGCAAUGGGCGCAAGCCUGACCGAGCGACGCCGCGUGGAGGAUGAAGGCCUUCGGGUUGUAACUCCUGUCGAGGGGAGGAGGGGUAACCUUGACCUAUCCCUGGAGGAGCACGGGCUAAGUUCGUGCCAGCAGCCGC